rnacentral:misc_RNA from 1 species
GAUGAAGAACGUAGCGAAAUGCGAUACCUGGUGUGAAUUGCAGAAUCCCGCGAACCAUCGAGUCUUUGAACGCAAGUUGCGCCCGAGGCCACCCGGCCGAGGGCACGCCUGCCUGGGCGUCACGCCAAAACACGCUCCCACCCCCCCCCUCACCGGGGGAGCGGGACGCGGCGUCUGGCCCCCCGUGCCGCGAGGCGCGGUGGGCCGAAGAUCGGGCUGCCGGCGUACCGUGCCGGGCACAGCGCGUGGUGGAUCUCUACUCGGCGCAGUGCACCCGGCGCGUAGCCGGCGCAGCGGCCCCUAAGGACCCAACGAACGGAGCGCGAGCCGCUCCGACCGCGACCCCAGGUCAGGCGGGACUACCCGCUGAGUUUAAGCAUAUCAAUAAGCGGAGGA